UGCCACCAGGCAACUCCCCGCUCCUUGGUCUCCUUCCUGUUGGCAUCUCAGCAGCAGGUGGUCCCCAGCCUCAGCCUGGGUCAGGGACGACCGGAGACGACCAGAGACCCACUCCGCUGACAGCUCACUUUCAGAAUUGGCUUUUAUGGGAGCCUCAUGUAUCUUCUAGGCUAGAGUCCCCGCUUGGGCCCUGAAGGCAAAGAGAAAACAGGAAGGAAGCAACUAGGGAAGGAAGGAGGAUAAAGAGAAAGAAAAUAAUGAAAGGUGAAAAGAAAGAACAAAGAAAUGCAGAAAAGAGGGGAAAACCGAAAGAGAGUGAGAGAGAGAGAGAGAGAGAGAGAGAGAGAGAGAGAGAGAGAGAGAGAAGGAAAGAUGGAUAACACCAAGGAACAGGAAAAAAGACAUGAAACAGGGUGGUUUGUUUUUCUUUCUUGCUGUUUGUGAUAGAUUACCCUGGACUAGCUGGAAGGGAACGGAGUAAUUGGACCAAGCUAAUUAGAUCUUCAUUUGAUUUUGUGUUUGUUUGUUUGACUACUUAGUUUAUAACUUGGCAGGGAAUUUUAUCACAUAUACUCUGCUAACUGGUUUAUCUAAACGGAGAUUGAGCAUGAACAGAAUUGACAUUGGAUUUGCUGCUUCAGACCACACAGGAGAGGGGAGAAAACCUUUUCAAGCAAAUGCGGACGUCUAGGUGCAGUAGCAGACCUAACAGGGGACCUCAACAGCCUCUCGGAGUCCCAGGGAAGGCAGAGUUGUUGGGCUGCAUUUAUGUGGUGAUUCUGAUGGAAGCAAAUGGAGGAGCGGAGGAGUGUCUCAAUCAGUGCAAUCAUUACCAUAGCUCAGUGUUGAGAAACUCCUCGCAGAUGCUGAUAGGCAGCAUACCAUGGCAGAGAACACCAGCCCCCACCAGCGACCAAGGUUUCUUUCUUUAUCCUGGAUGCAUGGCUGAACCUCAUCUUAGCCCCCUUGCACUUGGAGAGGGGGAGCCAAUGGAAGGUGGCGGUGUGGAGUAUCUCCCUUGCAGGGCACUGCCCUCUCUCCUUCUGUGGCAGUCUUGGAGGUCCCAUGUUGGAGAUGGCAGUGCCACAAGAUGGGAGGAGUCUUGGCCCUAAAUCACUGUGAAGAAGGCUGCCCCUUGGCAGCACUUGGUUAGACUUUGGAGUGGGCAAGAAGACGGUCUCAAACUCAGUGGCUUAGCAAUAAAGCUGGACUUGUUACAGAUGUGGGUGGUAGCCUACCCUGAUGACACUGACCUUGCCUUCUCCCUGCCUCCCAUUCCUUUGCUCUUAGCAGAGAUUCUGAAGACAAUGCUCAGAACUGAUGUGCUCCGUUACCCAAUAUAGUUUGAUUCCCAAGUCCACCCCACCCCCAUUAGAGCACCAUUGCUAUUUGAGAGACGAACCUAUGGUUGGACUCUGUUUCUGGAACUUUCUGUGGCCUCAGGAAGGUCAUGUUACAGCUGAGGAAACUGAACUCAGAGAAGGCAAGUGGGACUAACAGAACCAGGGGUAGUGGAUUAUUGUGGAGAUUAGAUGGGACCAGGGGUGGGAAGCAUCUGGCACAUAGAACGUGCUCAAUAAAGGUCCAUCACAACAUUUUUCCUUCUCGCUGAAGAACAAAGAGCUUUAUUUCCUGUCGAGGGAAUCACAGAGCACAGGGAAUAGUUAAGAAAUUGUGGGAGAGGUAUGUAGGCAUUUCCUGAUUCCCUCAUCCCAAUUCCCUCACCCCAUUUAAGAACUCAUCUUUUGGGGGUACCCUGGACUGGAAGAAGGGUUGUUGUUGUUUUAGUCUUGGUUCCUUGGACAAGUAACUGCUCUUCUCUGGACUUGAGUUUCUCUUUAGAAUGGCGGGGUUGGACUAAAUGACCUCCAAGAGCCCUCCAGCUCUGCCAGAGUGAAAUUCCAUGUUAAUGUCAGAAGACUGAAGGACUGUGGAGAGAAAGGCAUCAAG